GCGCGCGGCGCGUUCGGCGCCUGUUGGAGAUGCUCUUGCUUAAAAAAAAAACUCUCCCUCUCGUCUAACCCUAGCGCCGCCUCUCAUCUCCGGCUGCUCGCCGGUCAUCGCCCCGCCAAACGCAGCCGCACCCCCGUCACCCCCGGCUGCUUCCUUGCCUUCCCCGCCGUCCUCGGCCGUAGGACGCCGCCACACUUCCUAUCUGCAUCGUCCUGCUGGCGGAUCGAGGUCACGGCACUGACGACCCAUCAUCUCCGACGGCGGAUCUGGCCGUGGGCGAGGAUGCCGAGCCACCUGCUCCAGUCACGGCCAUCCCGACUCCUCGUCCACCCCCUGCCCCGUCCGGUUCAUUUUGGUUCGUCCUUCAUCCCGUCCACGCCGAUUUUGUUUACCUUAUUACGAUGUCCCACCUCAUCUCGUGCUCCUGACAUGCCGAGGGGGCGAGAGGAGUAAGAGAGCAGGGACGAGUGCGCAGUGGAGGAAGAUGCCUGCCGUGAAGCUGCCAAGCGAGAAGACAGAGGAGGAGCGAUACUUGCGGAGGCGGCCGAGAUCGGGUACUACAUCUUCUUAGAUCUUUGCCGUCGUCUAGGUCAGGCCUCCCUCAGAUGCCCUGAUCCUCCAUCAUCAGGGAUGCCCUGCACUCUCCUCUCUAUGUCUGCUAGCGGUGGCGGCUGCCGGAAAUAGAGGGGACCAGUGGCAACGUGGAAUGGUACCCACGGGCGUUCUGGUACAGCGAGAGAGGAAGCAGAUGAAUGUGCCACAUGUGAGAGGGAGAGGUCUGUAAUGGUAUCUGGUGGUGGCCUCUUGAAAAGAACCCAAGAUUCUCACUAAUAUCCUGUAGCUUGCUGUGUUCUUCGGGCUCUCUCAAACGACAAGAAGAUGAGUUACAGCGAAUUAUACAUCUCACCCCAUUGUUUGUACAAUGGUAUCCACUUUGAGUAGUAGUGUUGUGGGUUGUGGCUAACUGGCUAUGUGGAUUUGUCAGUGAUUUGCUAGCUUUGAUGUGUUUCGGUUGGAUGAAAUGGAGUGUGUUGGUGCAGGUGCGAUGCAUCCGAUUGAGUAUAGGAGGACCGAGGACAUGUGGUGAGGCGCUGUGCCCUGUGGCACAACAACAAGGGUGCGCACAAGCUGACCAGCGUCUAGCUCCAUGGCAUCAUCAAUGACAGAACCAGAGGAACAAAUGAUCGUCAAUGGUGCACUAAACCAUGAGAGUGUGGCGCCUUCUGUGUUGUGGACUUGGCAUGGGCUGGCUUCUGUUCACUGCUGUGUUCUUGCUGCCAUUCCGCGGUAUAUUGGAGUGUUUCAUCCUAAUAUAUGUCUGGUUACAUGACCACAAAGAGAAAGAAGGGUAUGAUGUAAGCAAACGUGGACACUCAAGAAGAAGCUGAAAAAUCAGUAUUGGAACCCAGCGAGGAAAUCUGAAAGCAUAGACCAUGUUUAAGAACUGGUUGUUUUUGUUGUGCUAUUUUUAAGAAAAAGGAUUGUCUCGAAGGAAAUGAAGCUUACCAACAAGGAAAUUAUGGUGAGGAGCACUCUUCUGCCCCCUUGGUAAUACAGAGAUGCAAUGCAAAGCGAGGAAAUCUCUGAAAGCAUAGACCAUGUUUAAGAACUGGUUGUUUUUGUUGUGCUAUUUUUAAGAAAAAGGAUUGUCUCGAAGGAAAUGAAGCUUACCAACAAGGAAAUUAUGGUGAGGAGGCACUCUUCUGCCCCCUUGGUAAUACAGAGAUGCAAUGCAAAUGUUAUGUAUUGUGCUUUUGCUUGUUCAAGGGACCUCCUAAUGACACACGAUGGAAACGGAUCCAUGGAUUAAUUCAGAUGGCAUUAAUUGGAGAGAAGGGAUCUAGCUAGGUUUGCAAUGGCAUGUGUACUACCAAAAAGUAACAUCCUCAGGGCAUCAGGGGUGGCACACACGUCCCACUUGGUGGCGGUGGCAGAUCGGCAAGAACAAGGGUGGGGUUGUAUUAAGGAGGAGAGCGGGGCGGUUGGCGAGGGACUCCUCCUUGGCGGUCCGUGGGGAAGUAAGGUGAGGUGGGUCUCAUUACUAGAGCCAUAUGACCAAAAAGAUGAUAGGAAAGGCUCUUUCCAAGCAUACAAGCAUAAGGUCAAGUUUAUUUCAUCAUCGAUCCAAAUAUUGUUCCAUAGAAUAAUUGUGUCACCAGCUCUAGGAAUGCAAGUUGUAACCCCUUUGUAUAUGUCCAUGAACGAGAACACAUCGUUCUGUAUAUCUUUCCGUAAAAGAACUGUGCAAAAAUUUCUUAAGCGCAACAACUAGAUAUUAAUUUGUAAUAGAAUUUUAGUUGGAUCAUCGCUCUAUAUGUACACAUCAUUAAUUUAUCAUUUUUUAUCAAUUUA